UCUGUUGGCAAGUGAGAACAGUGUUGA
rnacentral:piRNA from 1 species